GCAGACACAUUCCAGCCAAUCAGCAGCAGACCCUCCCUCCCAGACUCUCCCACCUCCUGGACAGCAUCCAUUGUGAAGCUGCAUUCUUAGUGAGCUGUCCAGGAGGUGGGAGGGUCUGGGAGGGAGGGUCUGCUGCUGAUUGGCUGGAAUGUGUCUG